AUUGAACGCUGGCGGCAUGCCUAACACAUGCAAGUCGAACGGUAACGGGCUUGAGGGAGACUUUGAGUGCCGACGAGUGGCGGACGGGUGAGUAGAGCAUAGGAAUCUAGCCUGUAGAGUGGGAUAACCCGAGGAAACUGGGGGUAAUACCGCAUACGACCUGAGGGUGAAAGGCCGGUAGAGAUACGGGUCACUAUAGGAUGAGCCUAUGUGGGAUUAGCUAGUUGGUGGGUAAAGGCCUACCAAGGCGACGAUCCCUAGCUGGUCUGAGAGGAUGAUCAGCCACACUGGGACUGAGACACGGCCCAGACUCCUACGGGAGGCAGCAGUGGGGAAUAUUGGACAAUGGGGGCAACCCUGAUCCAGCAAUGCCGCGUGUGUGAAGAAGGCCUGAGGGUUGUAAAGCACUUUUGUUGGGGAGGAAAGUGGACUUUUGAAGAGGUUCAUGUGACGUUACCCAAAGAAAAGACACCGGCUAACUCUGUGCCAGCAGCCGCGGUAAU
rnacentral:rRNA from 1 species